rnacentral:lncRNA from 1 species
UAAAUUCAAUGAAAUGAAGGUGGAAUUACAAUUGUUCAAGAACUCAAAUGAAUUGGCAAAAAUUCAAAGUCUCUUAAAAGUGAAGAAACUUGAAUUAUGAGAAUUCAAUUUGGUAGAUCUUUGAUAAUAGAAAGGGGGAGUUGUGCAUGAUUUGCUUAUGUGAAAAUGUAUUGUUAUAUAGAAUUAGAAUUAGGCUAUAUGUUAA